AGACAGCCUCAGAGCUGGUGGGGAGACAGCAUGCCACUGGAAAAAUUCGUAGACAUGGAAUUCCUGGAUCAAAUGGAGGAGAUGGAAGAUUGAGAGCAGAGUGCAAGAAUGGGAAGAGGGCUUCGUGCCCUGUGCACGUUUGCCACCUAGUGACCAAACUGAGUAAGUACCGUAUUUGUGGAUUGCUCAGAAACGUCCCUAAAACUUCACUCAUUGCAAGGUUGUGUAACCACCCUGGUGAAUAAGCACGUAUACAUCAAGUUAUAGCGAUUUCUGCUACAUAUGUAGAAAUUUUUAAAAAGUCAUAAAAUAAAAAGAAAUCUUUCUCUCUAACUUUUCCCCCUGCCGUCCCAAAUUUCCCCGUGGAAUUCAUUGAGACCGUGUUCUAUAGCAGUGAUCUUUGUACUUUCUAAUUAUUUACCACCUAACAUCAUUUUGGAAAAUGGUCUACUCCAUCACACAUCUUGAAGUGAACACCUGAAAUUUCUUAUCAUAAAUUUAAGUAUUUGUAACAUAUUUCCAGCAUAUUAUGAAUACUCCGACUUUUAAAUAAAUUGGUUUCAUCAAAUUUUUGCAUGCAAUGAAAUAAAAAUACCAUACCCAUUUGAUAUUCAUAAUUGUUGAUUUAAAAAAACAUGAACAAGGUCUUCUUUAGCAGUCAGAAAUUUUACGUAAUGUUUCUAUCUCCUUGAACUUGCCAUUCCAUUCAACUUCCCUCACAUAAUGUAUAAUAAUGAAUACAUUUUCAAUAUUUAAAGGCCCCUUAUUCGUCACCUUACCAUACAUGCCUGCAAAAAGCAUACAAGAAUUGAAAAAAAAUUUCUGUGACUCUAUGCCUCAAAAGAUUAAAAUUUUUAUCAUAAAUUUAUUAGUAGUACACAAUCAGAAGAACUUAAAAUAUUACACAUUUGGUAAGUAAUCAGUAAAAUGAAAAGUAAAAUUGGUUGGAAAUACAUCUUUUUUUUUUUUUUUUUUUUGAGACAGAGUCUUGCUCUGUCACCAAGGCUGGAGUGCAGUGGCGCAAUUUCACCUCACUGUAACCGCCACCUUCCAGGUUCAAGCAAUUCUCGUGCCUCAGCCUCCUGAGUAGCUGGGAUUACAGGCACGUGCCACCACGCCCGGCUAAUUUUUUUUGUAUUUUUAGUAGAGACA
rnacentral:lncRNA from 1 species